CCUACGGGUGGCAGCAGUGAGGAAUAUUGGUCAAUGGGCGAGAGCCUGAUCCAGCGAAGUAGCGUGAAGGAUGACUGCCCUACGGGUUGUAAACUUCUUUUAUAAAGGAGUAAAGUGAGGCACGUGUGCCUUUUUGUAUGUACUUUAUGAAUAAGGAUCGGCUAACUCCGUGCCAGCAGCCGCGGUAAUACGGAGGAUCCGAGCGUUAGCCGGAUUUAUUGGGUUUAAAGGGAGCGUAGAUGGGUUGUUAAGUCAGUUGUGAAAGGUUGCGGCUCAACCGUAAAAUUGCAAUUGAUACUGGCAGCCUUGAGUGCAGUUGAGGUAAGCGGAAUUCGUGGUGUAGCGGUGAAAUGCUUAGAUAUCACGAAGAACUCCGAUUGCGAAGGCAGCCUACUAAACUGCCACUGACAUUGAUGCUCGAAAGUGUGGGUAUCAAACAGGAUUAGAUACCCCAGUAGUC
rnacentral:rRNA from 1 species